AUUUUUAUGUAUGUUUAUAAUUAAUAUAGGGCAUUUCGUUCUAUUCCUAUGAAUGAACGGGUUAGGAAUAUCAAUUGGAAGCAAUGCAAAUGCCCAAUACAACCGGGAGGUGUUGAGUGUGGAUAUUAUUUCAUGCGAUACAUGUUUGAUAUCAUGACCAAAUAUUCAUCUGUUAAUUGUUUGGAUGAGGCAUUUGAAAGCAAUAAUCUGUACUCUAUCAACCAAAUAAAUGAGAUUCGAGAGUUAUGGGCAAAAUACUUCUUGGAAGAGUGC